rnacentral:rRNA from 1 species
CCUACGUGAGGCAGCAGUGAGGAAUAUUGGUCAAUGGGCGCGAGCCUGAACCAGCCAAGUCGCGUGAAGGAUGACUGCCCUACGGGUUGUAAACUUCUUUUAUAAAGGAAUCAAGUGAGGCACGUGUGCCUUUUUGUAUGUACUUUAUGAUUAAGGAUCGGCUAACUCCGUGCCAGCCGCCGCCGUAAUACGGAGGAUCCGAGCGUUAUCCGGAUUUAUUGGGGUUAAAGGGAGCGUAGAUGGGUUGUUAAGUCAGUUGUGAAAGUUUGCGGCUCAACCGUAAAAUUGCAAUGGAUACUGGCAGCCUUGAGUACAGUUGAGGUAGGCGGAAUUCGUGGUGUAGCGGUGAAAUGCUUAGAUAUCACGAAGAACUCCGAUUGCGAAGGCAGCCUACUAAACUGCCACUGACAUUGAUGCUCGAAAGUGUGGGUAUCAAACAGGAUUAGAUACCCGAGUAGUC